ensembl:lncRNA
CUUUAAAGUACCUGAGCACCGAAUAAUGUUACCAAGAUGUUGGACAAUGGCUGUUCCAGCCUAACCCAUUAAAACAGUACCAAUCAAAGAAACAAACUAUUCUACCUGUAUCCGUGGAGGUCAGCUCUAACUGGACACAUACAAGAGGUCUAUUUAAACUGGAGUCAUACAGCUGCAACCUCCCAGGAGAUCUGUUCUAAUGCAUCAGGCCAACCAACCUUAGAAACAACUAGAUGUCAGAAGGCAAUGUCAAAAGGUGAAAAAAUGAAAAUCUGAUCUUUUGUAAUAUAUGUGGACUUUCCAAGACUUCUAAGAUCACAAAUGAAUUUAUUUGAUCAGAAUUUAGAGAAAGAAUAUGAUAUGUCUGCCAUUCAGUGUUCAUUAUGCUCAGGUAUAAUACAUCAAAUCUUCAGCACUAAAAUAGAGUGGGAAGUCAUCAGUAAAACCUGAGUCAGUGUCCAUCACCUGUACAACUUGCUAUGGAAGAAGCUUGAGCCACUCACUGCUCCAUUGCUAUCCAUUGGCAUGCUAAAUCAAAUGUUUGCCUGGAAACAUUCAUCAAAGCUGCUGCAAUGCAAUCGUCUAUAUAAACAGUUUAUUUCACUGGCAAGAAGAUAGCUAACAUUCGUUUUCUCCAGAUGCUUCAGAGUUUCCUGUGACUUCAAACUGUUUCUUGCUACCCAUUUGCUUCAGUUGUCUUCAUAGAACACUGGACUUAAAGGAAGGGAAUGUGUAUCACACGUAACCAUAAGGAAGAAGGGUCAUGAUUAAACCUGUUUCUGAUCUGCUACAAGUAUG